rnacentral:rRNA from 1 species
AGUGAACGCUGGCGGUAGGCCUAACACAUGCAAGUCGAACGGCAGCACAGUAACAGCUUGAUCUUAAAGGUGAAGAGAGGAGGAAGGGUGAAGAAUAACACAGAAACUACUUUUUCGUGGGGGAUAACGUAGGGAAACUUACGCUAAUACCGCAUACGACCUACGGGUGAAAGCAGGGGAUCUUCGGACCUUGCGCGAUUGAAUGAGCCGAUGUCGGAUUAGCUAGUUGGCGGGGUAAAGGCCCACCAAGGCGACGAUCCGUAGCUGGUCUAAGAGGAUGAUCAGCCACACUGGAACUGAGACACGGUCCAGACUCCUACGGGAGGCAGCAGUGGGGAAUAUUGGACAAUGGGCGCAAGCCUGAUCCAGCCAUACCGCGUGGGUGAAGAAGGCCUUCGGGUUGUAAAGCCCUUUUGUUGGGAAAGAAAAGCAGCAGGUUAAUACCCCGCUGUUCUGACGGUACCCAAAGAAUAAGCACCGGCUAACUUCGUG